UACAGGACGAACGCUGGCGGCGUGCUUCAUACAUGCAAGUCGAACGAGAAGUCACCUUCGGGUGAUGGGAAAGUGGCGGACGGGUGAGUAAUGUGUAGAGAAUCUGCCCUUGAGUGGGGGACAACAGUUGGAAACGACUGCUAAUACCGCAUAAGCGCACGGUAUCGCAUGAUACAGUGUGAAAAACUCCGGUGGUAUAAGAUGGACCCGCGUCUGAUUAGCUUGUUGGUGAGGUAACGGCCCACCAAGGCGACGAUCAGUAGCCGGCCUGAGAGGGUGAACGGCCACAUUGGGACUGAGACACGGCCCAAACUCCUACGGGAGGCAGCAGUGGGGAAUAUUGCACAAUGGGGGAAACCCUGAUGCAGCGACGCCGCGUGAGUGAAGAAGUAUUUCGGUAUGUAAAGCUCUAUCAGCAGGGAAGAAGAAAUGACGGUACCUGACUAAGAAGCCCCGGCUAACUACGUG
rnacentral:rRNA from 1 species